rnacentral:tRNA from 1 species
GCGCCCGUAGCUCAGUUGGAUAGAGUGACAGACUUCGAAUCUGGAGGUCGCUGGUUCGAUUCCAGCCGGGCGCA